AUUGAACGCUGGCGGCAUGCUUUACGCAUGCAAGUCGAACGGUAACAGGCCGCAAGGUGCUGACGAGUGGCGAACGGGUGAGUAAUGCAUCGGAACGUGCCCAGUCGUGGGGGAUAACUACUCGAAAGAGUAGCUAAUACCGCAUACGAUCUAUGGAUGAAAGCGGGGGACCGUAAGGCCUCGCGCGAUUGGAGCGGCCGAUGUCAGAUUAGGUAGUUGGUGGGGUAAAGGCUCACCAAGCCAACGAUCUGUAGCUGGUCUGAGAGGACGACCAGCCACACUGGGACUGGGACACGGCCCAGACUCCUACGGGAGGCAGCAGUGGGGAAUUUUGGACAAUGGGCGCAAGCCUGAUCCAGCAAUGCCGCGUGCAGGAAGAAGGCCUUCGGGUUGUAAACUGCUUUUGUACGGAACGAAACGGCUCUGGUUAAUACCCGGGGCUAAUGACGGUACCGUAAGAAUAAGCACCGGCUAACUACGUG
rnacentral:rRNA from 1 species